rnacentral:lncRNA from 1 species
GACUUGCCAUCAACAAUAAUCUCCUCCCUGUCAGUGUGGAAAAACUACGAAUUCAAGAGGAAUAAAAUACAAAGCAUGAGAAUAAUAUCUACUCUUAUCUUGGACAAAAUACAAAUAAGAAAAGGAAGAAUUUAAAGAAAGCCAAAACUAGUGGAAGACGAUGGGAGGGAGAGAGAGGAGGAACAACUGACGUUCAGUGAUGCAGUUUCAAGGUUUUCCUAUGCAUUACAGAAGCUAGAGGAAAGACUAAGUAGGAUACUUCUUCCUAAAUCAAGUUCAAGAUAAAUUUAUGCUUUGAGGGUGGCAAGGAAAGAAUGGCUGUGUUUGAAAUGCCCACAGGAUCUCAGCAGGAGCUGCUGCCUCAUACAGAAUUCAUCUGUAAGGU